CUCAUGGAGAGUUUGAUUCUAGCUCAGGAUGAACACUAACAGCAUGCUUAACACAUGCAAGUCGAAUGGGAAGUGGUGUUUCUAGUGGCGGACGGGUGAGUAAUGCGUAAGAACCUGCCCUUGGAAGGGGAACAACAACUGGAAAUGACUAUUAAUACCUAGUAGGCUGAGGAGCAAAAGGAGGAAUCCGCCCAAUGAAGGGCUCACGUCUGAUUAGCUAGUUGGUGAGGCAAUAGCUUACCAAGGCGAUGAUUAGUAGCUGGUCCGAGAGGAUGAUCAGCCAUAUUAGGACUUAGACACGGCCUAGAAUCCUACUGAAGGCAGCAGUGGGAAAUUUUUUGCAAUGGGCGAAAACUUAACAGAGUAAUACCGUGUGGAGAUAGAAGGCCUACGAGUCAUGAACUCUUUUUUUGAAGAAGAAGCAAUGACGGUAUCUGGAGAAUAAGCAUCAGAAGAUGCAAGCAUUAUCUAGAAUGAUUGGGCGUAAAGCGUCUGUAGGUGUCUUUAAGUCCACCGUCAAAUCCCAAGGCUCAACCCUGGACAGGCGGUGGAAGCUACCAAGUUUGAGUACGAUAGGGGCAGAGGGAAUUUCUGGUGGAGCAGUGAAAUGCGUAGAGAUCGGAAAGAACACCAACGGUGAAAGAACUCUGCUGGGCUGACACUGACACUAAGAGAGGAAAGCUAGAGGAAUGAAUGAGAUUAGAUACCCCAGUAGUCCUAGCUGUAAAUAAUGUAUAUUAGGCGUUGUACAUAUCGACCCGUGUAGUGCUUAGCUAACGCGUUAAGUAUCCCGCCUAGGGAGUAUGUUUGCAAGAAUGAAACUCAAAGGAAUUGAUAGGGGCCUGCACAAUCGGUGGAGCAUGUGGUUUAAUCUGAUACAAAGCGAAGAACCUUACCAAGGCUUGACAUGCCUCGAAUCCUCUUGAAAGAGAGAGGUGCCUUCGGGAACGCAAACACAGGUGGUGCAUAGUUAUCGUCAGCUCGUGCCAUAAGGUGUUGGGUUAAGUCCCGCAAUGAGUACAAACCUCGUGUUUAGUUUCCACCGUUGAGGUUAAAACCCUGAGCAGACUGCCAGUGAUAAGCCGAAGGAAGGUGAGGAUGACGUCAAGUUAUCAUGCCCUUUAUGCCCUACGCAACACAUGUGCUACAAUAGACGGGACAAAAGGUCGCGAUCUCGCGAGGGUGAACUAACUCUAAAAACCCAUCCUCAGUUUGGAUUGUAGGCUGCAACUCACCUGCUUGAAGUCGGAAUCACUAGUAAUCACUGGUCAGCCAUACGGCGGUGAAUUUGUUCCCAAGCCUUAUACACACCACCCAUUACACUAUGGGAGCUAACCAUGCCCAAAGUCGUUACCUUAACCGCAAGGAGGGGGAUGUCGAAUAUAGGGCUAGUAACUGGAGUGAAGUCGUAACAAGGUAGCCGUACUAGAAGGUGCGGCUGAAUCACCUCCUUU
rfam:Gossypium hirsutum cultivar TM-1 chromosome 8, whole genome shotgun sequence